UUAUCUUUUCAUCUCUCUAAUCAUUGAGAAAAAGAGUACAAAAAGCCAGAUUUUGCAGUUCCCUAUUUUGUAUUCCAGGUUGAAGAGUGCUCUGGCUGUAGAGGGUCCCCACGAUCUGUCAUCUAGUAACUCACCAGAUACAUAAGAUAUUUUGCCUGCUAUGAAGCCAUUGGAGAAUCAGGUCCAGCUGUGUCCUACAGAUUUAUACCCUCACUUUGGAUGCACUGUGAAUCUUGAAACAAGUAUGUAAAUAGAAUCCAGCCCCUCUCUGCCACAGCCUCAGAGCAGGAUUGGUAACUCCAAAAGACACCAGGACACAUCCUAAUUUUCUUAAAUUUUA
rnacentral:lncRNA from 1 species